GAUGAACGCUGGCGGCGUGCCUAAUACAUGCAAGUAGAACGCUGAAGCUUGGUGCUUGCACCGAGUGGAAGAGUUGCGAACGGGUGAGUAACGCGUAGGUAACCUGCCUCUUAGCGGGGGAUAACUAUUGGAAACGAUAGCUAAUACCGCAUAAAAGUCGACAUUGCAUGAUGUUGACUUGAAAGGUGCAAAUGCAUCACUAAGAGAUGGACCUGCGUUGUAUUAGCUAGUUGGUGAGGUAACGGCUCACCAAGGCGACGAUACAUAGCCGACCUGAGAGGGUGAUCGGCCACACUGGGACUGAGACACGGCCCAGACUCCUACGGGAGGCAGCAGUAGGGAAUCUUCGGCAAUGGACGGAAGUCUGACCGAGCAACGCCGCGUGAGUGAAGAAGGUUUUCGGAUCGUAAAGCUCUGUUGUAAGAGAAGAACGAGUGUGAGAGUGGAAAGUUCACACUGUGACGGUAACUUACCAGAAAGGGACGGCUAACUACGUGCCAGCAGCCGCGGUAAUACGUAGGUCCCGAGCGUUGUCCGGAUUUAUUGGGCGUAAAGCGAGCGCAGGCGGUUUGAUAAGUCUGAAGUUAAAGGCUGUGGCUCAACCAUAGUUCGCUUUGGAAACUGUCAAACUUGAGUGCAGAAGGGGAGAGUGGAAUUCCAUGUGUAGCGGUGAAAUGCGUAGAUAUAUGGAGGAACACCGGUGGCGAAAGCGGCUCUCUGGUCUGUAACUGACGCUGAGGCUCGAAAGCGUGGGGAGCGAACAGG
rnacentral:rRNA from 1 species